GCCGUAGCUCAGGGGGCACAGUAUCUGCUUUCCAUGCAGAAGGUCCUGGGUUCGGUCCUCAGCAUCUCCA